rnacentral:rRNA from 1 species
ACGUAGGGGGCGAGCGUUGUUCGGAAUUACUGGGCGUAAAGGGCGUGUAGGCGGCGCGGUAAGUUGGGCGUGAAAUCCCCGGGCUUAACCCGGGGGGUGCGUUCAGGACUGCCGUGCUAGGGUGCGGGAGAGGGAAGUGGAAUUCCCGGUGUAGCAGUGAAAGGCGUAGAUAUCGGGAGGAACACCUGCGGCGAAGGCGGCUUCCUGGACCGUAACCGACGCUGAGGCGCGAAAGCUAGGGGAGCAAACAG